rnacentral:lncRNA from 1 species
CCGUAGUUCUGAAAUUUAUGCAAGGAGAUCCACUCCCAUAGCUCUAAAUGGAAAGCAUGAAUUUUGCUUUCAAUCAGCUACUGAUUUUCAGAUUAAGCAGUGAAUGUGCCCACUCAUCAUUGGUGCUGGCAGCAAUUUUCCACUUGUGGAGACAUCUGGAAAAGGAAAAUCAGAUGCAGAGGACCCAGAACAGGGCUCCCCUGAGCACUUUCAGGGACUUCCUGAGGAACCUGAAACACCACCACCUGGAGCCCCUCCUAAUGGUGAAAACCUAGAAGGUGAAUCUCAGCUAAGUCCACCCCCACAAGAUGGUGAACCUCAGCAAGGACCCCCCAGACAAGGUGAUGGACCUCGGCAGAGGCCACAUCCACAAGGUGAUGGACCUUGGCAGAGACUACGUCCACAAGGUGAUGUGCCUCAGCAGAGACCACGUCCACGAGAUGGUGAACCUCCGCAGAGACCACCCCCACAAAAGCAACAUUGUCAUCACUAUCCUCCCCUAUCUUCUCCUGAAAGACAUCACAGACCACCACCCCCAAGACGUGGACCACACAGAUCUCCCCAAGGCCCACCAACCCAGUAAUCUGGAGUUCAAUGACAG